rnacentral:rRNA from 1 species
CACGUAGGCACCAAGCGUUGUCCGGAUUUAUUGGGCGUAAAGAGCUCGUAGGCGGUUCAGUAAGUCGGGUGUGAAAACUGUGGGCUUAACCCACAGCCUGCACUCGAAACUGCUGUGACUAGAGUUCGGUAGGGGAGCGGGGAAUUCCUGGUGUAGCGGUGAAAUGCGCAGAUAUCAGGAGGAACACCGGUGGCGAAGGCGCCGCUCUGGGCCGACACUGACGCUGAGGAGCGAAAGCGUGGGUAGCAAACAGG